AUUACCGCGGCUGCUGGCACGGAUUUAGCCGGUGCUUAUUCCUCGGGUACCGUCAGUCUUGCCAGGUAUUAGCCGACAAUGUUUCGUUCCCGAUAAAAGUGCUUUACAACCCUAAGGCCUUCUUCACACACGCGGCAUGGCUGGAUCAGGGUUGCCCCCAUUGUCCAAUAUUCCCCACUGCUGCCUCCCGUAGGAGUCUGGACCGUGUCUCAGUUCCAGUGUGGCUGAUCAUCCUCUCAAACCAGCUACGGAUCGUAGCCUUGGUAGGCCUUUACCCUACCAACUAGCUAAUCCGACAUGAGCUCAUCUGAUAGCGAGAGGUCCGAAGAUCCCCCGCUU
rnacentral:rRNA from 1 species